CCUACGGGAGGCUGCAGUGGGGGAUAUUGCACAAUGGGGGAAACCCUGAUGCAGCGACGCCGCGUGGGUGAAGAAGCGCCUCGGCGCGUAAAGCCCUGUCAGCAGGGAAGAACAAAAGUCCUUUGGACUUUGGACGGUACCUGUCCAAGAAGCCCCGGCUAACUACGUGCCAGCAGCCGCGGUAAUACGUAGGGGGCAAGCGUUAUCCGGAUUUACUGGGUGUAAAGGGAGCGUAGACGGCAGCGCAAGUCUGGAGUGAAAUGCCGGGGCCCUACCCCGGAACUGCUUUGGAAACUGUGCAGCUGGAGUGCAGGAGAGGUAAGCGGAAUUCCUAGUGUAGCGGUGAAAUGCGUAGAUAUUAGGAGGAACACCAGUGGCGAAGGCGGCUUACUGGACUGUAACUGACGUUGAGGCUCGAAAGCGUGGGGAGCAAACAGGAUUAGAUACCCCAGUAGUC
rnacentral:rRNA from 1 species